CGGGGUGUGGCCUAGCUGGUUUAGGGCGCCUGGUUUGGGACCAGGAGAUCCUGGGUUCAAAUCCCAGCACCCCGA
rnacentral:tRNA from 1 species